CAGUUUCCAGGGGAGCCCAGGUCUUGUAGUGGGGGCGGUGGGGAAUGGAGGAGUCCCAGGGAAGGGGACGUCUCCUCUACCUGGGCCAGGCUGGGAAGGCUUCAUGGUGGAGACGGCGGCCCAGGCGCGUGGGCCCGGAGUGGGGCGGGAAAUGCGCUGGGGAGGCGAGGCUGUGCCGGGAUGCUGGGCCCAGCCUCUCCUGCGCCCCUAGAGCCAGCCCGGGAAAGAGGAGUUUAAGACCAAGCAUGUUCUGAGAACACCACACAGCAAGUACUGGGCUACAUGUUGUACAGACAUUCUCAUCAUGUCACUGGAACUUCUCAGCUACCCUGAGGUCAGAACCUUCUGAAAACCUGGGAAACUUUCUGUAGUCAGAAUCCACUACUGUACCACUAAUGUCUCUUCCAUCCGGCUCUGCAGCACCUGAGCAAAAGAUCUCUGCAGCUGAGUCCAAAGAGCAUUCCCAUGUGAACCGAGCAACCAAGUAUCAUCGGAGUGGCUGAGCCUGGGAUUUCCAACUUGGGAGACUACACAGUGGAUUCUAUAAUGAUUAGUGGCAGCAUCCAAUGUCUCUUCCAAGUCUAAAAUUUGUGAGUUUCAAAGUUGACUCUCCCCAAACCUGGCCUUUGCUGCCUCAGAUUCUGUCACUCUAGCAAGGCAGAGAGAGCAAAAGGGGCAAGACAAACCUCAUCAACAGCACAGAAAUCCCAGAAUUACACACUCUCUGGUCCAGCCAA